rnacentral:rRNA from 1 species
GGUCAAGUGAAGAAGCGCAUACGGUGGAUGCCUUGGCAGUCAGAGGCGAUGAAAGACGUGGUAGCCUGCGAAAAGCUUCGGGGAGUCGGCAAACAGACUGUGAUCCGGAGAUGUCUGAAUGGGGGAACCCAGCCAUCAUAAGAUGGUUAUCUUGUACUGAAUACAUAGGUGCAAGAGGCGAACCAGGGGAACUGAAACAUCUAAGUACCCUGAGGAAAAGAAAUCAACCGAGAUUCCCUUAGUAGUGGCGAGCGAACGGGGACCAGCCCUUAAGUUGUAUUGAGAUUAGCGGAACGUUCUGGAAAGGACGGCCAUAGUGGGUGAUAGCCCUGUACGCGAAAAUCCCUUUGCAAUGAAAUCGAGUAGGACGGGGCACGAGAAACCUUGUCUGAAUAUGGGGGGACCAUCCUCCAAGGCUAAAUACUACUGACUGACCGAUAGUGAACCAGUACCGUGAGGGAAAGGCGAAAAGAACCGCGGAGAGCGGAGUGAAAUAGAUCCUGAAACCGUAUGCGUACAAGCAGUGGGAGCCCACUUGUUGGGUGACUGCGUACCUUUUGUAUAAUGGGUCAGCGACUUAUUUUCAGUGGCGAGCUUAACCGAAUAGGGGAGGCGUAGCGAAAGCGAGUCUUAAUAGGGCGUCUAGUCGCUGGGAAUAGACCCGAAACCGGGCGAUCUAUCCAUGGGCAGGUUGAAGGUUGGGUAACGCUAACUGGAGGACCGAACCGACUACCGUUGAAAAGUUAGCGGAUGACCUGUGGAUCGGAGUGAAAGGCUAAUCAAGCUCGGAGAUAGCUGGUUCUCCUCGAAAGCUAUUUAGGUAGCGCCUCAUGUAUCACUGUAGGGGGUAGAGCACUGUUUCGGCUAGGGGGUCAUCCCGACUUACCAAACCGAUGCAAACUCCGAAUACCUACAAGUGCCGAGCAUGGGAGACACACGGCGGGUGCUAACGUCCGUCGUGAAAAGGGAAACAACCCAGACCGUCAGCUAAGGUCCCAAAGUCAUGGUUAAGUGGGAAACGAUGUGGGAAGGCUUAGACAGCUAGGAGGUUGGCUUAGAAGCAGCCACCCUUUAAAGAAAGCGUAAUAGCUCACUAGUCGAGUCGGCCUGCGCGGAAGAUGUAACGGGGCUCAAACCAUGCACCGAAGCUACGGGUAUCAUCUUUUGAUGAUGCGGUAGAGGAGCGUUCUGUAAGCCUGUGAAGGUGAGUUGAGAAGCUUGCUGGAGGUAUCAGAAGUGCGAAUGCUGACAUGAGUAACGACAAUGGGUGUGAAAAACACCCACGCCGAAAGACCAAGGUUUCCUGCGCAACGUUAAUCGACGCAGGGUUAGUCGGUCCCUAAGGCGAGGCUGAAAAGCGUAGUCGAUGGAAAACAGGUUAAUAUUCCUGUACUUCUGGUUAUUGCGAUGGAGGGACGGAGAAGGCUAGGCCAGCCUGGCGUUGGUUGUCCAGGUUUAAGGUGGUAGGCUGAGAUCUUAGGUAAAUCCGGGAUUUCAAGGCCGAGAGCUGAUGACGAGUGUUCUUUAGAACACGAAGUGGUUGAUGCCAUGCUUCCAAGAAAAGCUUCUAAGCUUCAGGUAACCAGGAACCGUACCCCAAACCGACACAGGUGGUUGGGUAGAGAAUACCAAGGCGCUUGAGAGAACUCGGGUGAAGGAACUAGGCAAAAUGGCACCGUAACUUCGGGAGAAGGUGCGCCGGUGAGGGUGAAGCAUUUACUGCGUAAGCCCACGCCGGUCGAAGAUACCAGGCCGCUGCGACUGUUUAUUAAAAACACAGCACUCUGCAAACACGAAAGUGGACGUAUAGGGUGUGACGCCUGCCCGGUGCCGGAAGGUUAAUUGAUGGGGUUAGCGCAAGCGAAGCUCUUGAUCGAAGCCCCGGUAAACGGCGGCCGUAACUAUAACGGUCCUAAGGUAGCGAAAUUCCUUGUCGGGUAAGUUCCGACCUGCACGAAUGGCGUAACGAUGGCGGCGCUGUCUCCACCCGAGACUCAGUGAAAUUGAAAUCGCUGUGAAGAUGCAGUGUAUCCGCGGCUAGACGGAAAGACCCCGUGAACCUUUACUAUAGCUUUGCACUGGACUUUGAAUUUGCUUGUGUAGGAUAGGUGGGAGGCUUUGAAGCGUGGACGCCAGUCUGCGUGGAGCCAACCUUGAAAUACCACCCUGGCAACUUUGAGGUUCUAACUCAGGUCCGUUAUCCGGAUCGAGGACAGUGUAUGGUGGGUAGUUUGACUGGGGCGGUCUCCUCCUAAAGAGUAACGGAGGAGUACGAAGGUGCGCUCAGACCGGUCGGAAAUCGGUCGUAGAGUAUAAAGGCAAAAGCGCGCUUGACUGCGAGACAGACACGUCGAGCAGGUACGAAAGUAGGUCUUAGUGAUCCGGUGGUUCUGUAUGGAAGGGCCAUCGCUCAACGGAUAAAAGGUACUCCGGGGAUAACAGGCUGAUACCGCCCAAGAGUUCAUAUCGACGGCGGUGUUUGGCACCUCGAUGUCGGCUCAUCACAUCCUGGGGCUGAAGCCGGUCCCAAGGGUAUGGCUGUUCGCCAUUUAAAGUGGUACGCGAGCUGGGUUUAGAACGUCGUGAGACAGUUCGGUCCCUAUCUGCCGUGGACGUUUGAGAUUUGAGAGGGGCUGCUCCUAGUACGAGAGGACCGGAGUGGACGAACCUCUGGUGUUCCGGUUGUCACGCCAGUGGCAUUGCCGGGUAGCUAUGUUCGGAAAAGAUAACCGCUGAAAGCAUCUAAGCGGGAAACUUGCCUCAAGAUGAGAUCUCACUGGAACCUUGAGUUCCCUAAAGGGCCGUCGAAGACUACGACGUUGAUAGGUUGGGUGUGUAAGCGCUGUGAGGCGUUGAGCUAACCAAUACUAAUUGCCCGUGAGGCUUGACCAUAUAACACCCA